UGCCCCAUGGCUGAGUUGGUUACAGCGUCCGACUGUUAUAUAGCAUCAUCGGAAGGUCGAGAGUUCGAGCCUCUCUGGGGCAG